rnacentral:rRNA from 1 species
ACAGUCACACAUUAGAUACCCCCUGUAGUCCCAGCCCUAGACGAUGCGCGUUAGGUGUAUCGGUGACCACGAGUCACCGAGGUGCCGAAGGGAAACCGUGAAACGUGCCGCCUGGGAAGUACGGUCGCAAGGCUGAAACUUAAAGGAAUUGGCGGGGAGCACCACAACGGGUGGAGCCUGCGGUUUAAUUGGACUCAACGCCGGGAAGCUCACCGGAUAAGGCAGCGGAAUGAUUGCCGGGCUGAAGACCCUGCAUGACCAGCUG